CAGGGACGGGGGCAGGCAGCGGAGGAUUCUAGAAGAAGAAGAAGGUAGCUCAAGAUGAGAGAUGAGGAGGUAGGAUGCUCACAGGCCACUGGGACAUCAUCUCAUGGGGGAAAAAAGGUGAUCAGCCUUUCCUAGUGCUUCAGCAUCGCUGCAACCCAAGCCACCACAGCCCUUGUCGGUCAGAGUCGGAGCCCCACACUGGAAUGGUUCCAGAUGGCCCCCAUCAUCCCCCACCCUCCUCUCUGGACCUCUUGCUUUGAGGCCAUCAACAUUUCCCAUCACUGCCACGCGAAAAAUAGAAGCCUGACUGAGCCAAGGAGAUUUUUGGUCAAGCUGAUGCUAAGCACGUACUCAUCUCUCUGACCUCUCUGGAUGCUGCCUCCAAGCCCUUUUGCCAGAGGAUUCUCUACGAAUAUAUUCUAGGAGGUGUUCCAUAGACACAAUGAAAGUGUGUAUAGUGUGUGUGUGUGGGGGGGGGGGCUCAUGUGCAUGGACACAGGACAGGACACAUCUCCGGAAGACCACCAGAUCCUUGCACUGAGCACAUAGGACAGCACUGGGAUAUUGGCUCAAGAGAGACGUUCAUUCUUCAAUGUGACAGUUGGUCCUGAGUGUCAACCUGAUGGACUGAGAGACAGGAAGAUUAGCAAGCAUGCCUCUGGGCAUGUCUUUGAAGAGCUUUCCAGAUCCAAUUAGACAGUGAGUAGUCCGACUUAAUCGGUGGUUGAAAUCACUGAUGGAUUCAUGAUUUGACUAGAUAGGUGGUGGAGCUGAGGCGAGCAGGGCUUCCUAGGAGGAAAAUGAUCGUGCGGAAGUGUCCUCGGGGACUCGUCUGGCCCCUUCGGUGACUGCCCUGUUCUGUUUCCCGUCCACUAUGAGGUGAACGUCUGGGCUCUACAAUGCCAUCCCUGUGUGAUGGAUUCAAACUGUGAGCCAAAAUAAGGCAUUCUCCCUUUAGGAUCUCUCAAGUACUUUGGUCACCGCUACAGCUGAGUAUGAGCACCUACAAACAGUUGGCUCCAACACAGCCUCCCACUGUGGACACUAAAGUCUGUGGAUCUACAGCCUCUCUGUAAAACAGCAGCAUCAACGUGGAACCUAUUCAUAUCCUUCCUCUUUCCUCCUUUCUUCUUUCUCCAUCUCUUUUGUCUGCUGCUGCUGCUGCUGCUGUUAUUGUUUUUGUUGUAAGACAGGCUCUCCCCAUAUAGCCCAUUCUGGGCUCCAACAUAUGGCCUAAUGUUCCCAAGUGCUAGGAUUAUAAGUAUGUAUACACCUAACUUGUCACAUACAAUAUAAUCAUGUCUAGAUUAUUAUUAAAAUGC
rnacentral:lncRNA from 1 species